AUUAUUACCACUCUUCUAGUGGUAAUGGUGUCUCUUAACUUGCCAUUGAUGACCACUGCAAACUACUACUACUAUCGUUCUCCACCACCCCCUCCUCAUCAUCACCAUCAUCGUCAUCGUCCCCCUCUUCCGUAUCUCUACAAACCACUACAACCACAUCCACCAGCAUCACCUAAGGCACCAUACAAGCCACCCUCACCUCAGCUGCUAGUCCACAAGCCACCUCCUCUUCCCCACCACUAACGAAGGCUUGGAGACAAAAUGGAAUGAGGUAUGUUAGCAUGGUGAGAACGAAUAAAAAGGAGGGUUGGUAUCUUCUUCGUAAUAGGAGGAAAGCGAAUGUCCUGUGUGAUUCUUGUUCUUGCGAUAACAUAGUAAUAAUCAUGGAAAGGCUCCGGGUUGGAAAAGGAAGAAGAGAAGAGACCAGAGAGAGAGAGAGAGAGAGAGAGAGAAGCUUUAUCACUUUCCAGCAAAAUCAUCAUGUUUGAGCAGGUUCAAGUGAAUUGUUAGUACCUUUUCUUCUAUUUAGUCCAAAUAUUUGUUAGUGUUUUAUUUUUCUGCAAUCUUAAAAUUAAUCUAUCGGGAUUGUCUAAA